AGAGUUUGAUCAUGGCUACAGAACGAACGCUGGCGGCAUGCCUAACACAUGCAAGUCGAACGAAGCCUUCGGGCUUAGUGGCGCACGGGUGCGUAACGCGUGGGAAUCUGCCCCUCGGUUCGGAAUAACAGUUAGAAAUGACUGCUAAUACCGGAUGAUGACGAAAGUCCAAAGAUUUAUCGCCGAGGGAUGAGCCCGCGUAGGAUUAGCUUGUUGGUGGGGUAAUGGCCCACCAAGGCGACGAUCCUUAGCUGGUCUGAGAGGAUGAUCAGCCACACUGGGACUGAGACACGGCCCAGACUCCUACGGGAGGCAGCAGUGGGGAAUAUUGGACAAUGGGCGAAAGCCUGAUCCAGCAAUGCCGCGUGAGUGAUGAAGGCCUUAGGGUUGUAAAGCUCUUUACCAGGGAUGAUAAUGACAGUACCUGGAGAAUAAGCUCCGGCUAACUCCGUG
rnacentral:rRNA from 1 species